GACAGAGGAUGCAAGUGUUAUCCGGAAUCACUGGGCGUAAAGCGUCUGUAGGUGGUUCGAAAAGUCCACUGUUAAAAAUUGAGGCUUAACUUCAAAGAUGCCGUGGAAACUUUCAAACUAGAGUAUGGUAGGGGUAGAGGGAAUUUCCAGUGGAGCGGUGAAAUGCGUAGAUAUUGGAAAGACCACCGAUGGCGAAGGCACUCUACUGGGCCAUGACUGACACUGAGAGACGAAAGCUAGGGGAGCAAAUGGG
rnacentral:rRNA from 1 species